ACCACACCCCACUCCCAUCAAUCUCCAGACAAAGGGAACACAUUUUGUCUUGAUCUCGUAGCAGAGAGAAUGCUGAGAGACCAAGCAGCAGUGAAUGCAGCAAGUUUAUCUCCACAAACAGGAUAUGAUGCUAUGCUGAGUAAAAGAUGAAGCAGCUGAUUCAGCCAGUAUGCAGAUUAAGGAGCAGGACAUGUUGAUUCACGGAUCUCAGUAUCUUCCAGCUGCUCCUCCAAAAGUUGCUCCUCCACUCCUCCUCCAAGAGCUACUUUAGAGAGAUGCUUGCUCAGCCAAAAGGCCCACUUUGCAGAUGAGAUCCACACCGCUGGAGUAGGUUCCUAUUGGAUGUGAAGCAGGGCUUCCACAGAAUAUUUGUUUUCUUUUGUAACCUUAAUUUACUCUAGAAGUUGAUCAAUACACAAAUGCAAAAUUAUUAGCUCUGGUUAGCAAACAUAUCAUUCCUUAUAAAUCAUGAUUCACAUAAAACCUAAGCUGGCGGCCAGAAAGUAAAUUAACAUCAUGGUAUGACAUUAAACACAUAAGGAAUGUUAAUAAUGUAAUUAUAACCACAUAUGAGUCAUGGAAUAAUAACAAUCUGGUAAUUAUAUAACAAACAAGCAAAUUGAUUUGAACCUCAAUAAAAGGAAUAAAUUCAAA